GUGACCCCGCAGCGGCCCUCUCCCCGCUGGCUGCCCGCGGCCGGGCCUCAUCCCUCUCCCUCACCUCCGUCUCUGUCCCGCUCCGUCGUCCCCCCGUCUCUCUCGCUCUCUCCGCGUCCCUGCCGCCCCUUUCUCUGCCUCUGGCUCUCCACUGUCUCCCCAUCUCUGCCUCUCCUUGUCCCCGUCUCCCCCAUCUCUUCUCUCUCUCUCUCUGUCCCUCCGUCGGACUUCGCCGAGCUGUCUCGCCUCUCCGUCUCUGUCUCCCCUCCCUCUGCCUCAGUCUCCCCAUCCCUGUCUCCCCUUCCCUUGUCUCUCCCACCUCUUGUCUCUGUCUCUCCCUCCCCCCACCCGCUUUCUCUCUCACUCCCGCAGCCAUGCUCAGAAUGCACUUUUCGUUCUGCCGAGGCAGUCAACGGGGACUAUGCACGACUGCAUCCUCGCCCCUCCCCGCAGGCCUCGGCUUCUGGCAGCAGGCCCCACGCAGGGCAGACUUCAGGAAGGACUUCCCGCCCUGGCUCAGCACCGGAGCUUUAUCGCUCGGGCCAGGCGGAGGCCAGGCGGCCCCGUGGCUUCCGGAGGCGCCCGGGCGGGAUGAGCUCACUGCUAGUUGGCUUGGAUUUCAUCAGCUUCCUCUGCUGGAGUUGCCCCCGCUCCUUUUCCCGCGCGGGCCGCGCUGACGAAUCCUUCGGGCGCCUGCUGCCCCCCAGCGGCGGAAUGCGGAAGCGCAGGCGCCGCGCAAACCGUCCCCGUUAGCCGCUGACCACCUCGUGGGUCAUGAAUGCUGCAGAUAUGAACCCCUUUAAUCCUCACAACGACCCCAUGGGGUAGAGAUUAUCUUAAGUUCCAUUUACAACUGAGGCCAGAGAACUGAGGUCGGCCGCCUAAGGUCACACGGCCGCAGGGCUUUGCUGAGGACCUCCUCUGUGCCAGGCCCUGCGGUAGGCACCGGGCAUCCAACAUGGAACAGACCAGACAAAACUCCCUGUCCUCAUGAGGCUGACACUGGUCUGGGAGAGACAGACAGUAGAGAAAGAACAUAAGUAACAACAAAAAGGAUUCCACUACUUCCGUCAAGGAAAAUCCUACGACGUUGCGUUCGGAAAUCAGCCAAGGGCGAUGCAGCAUUUUGGACAUUUUGGAUGAUCGCAUCACCCCUGCAACCCCAGUCCCGCUACCAAAGUCACAUCUGAGGGUCUCACCACAGCAUCCAGCUGCUGACACGUGUAGACAAGCACGGAACGUGGGUAGACACACGCGCAUGCGCACGCUCUCAGCCCUCUCAAAAUAACUACAACAAAAGGGUGUUGUUCCAUUAACAAGUGUUCCAACUCUCUUACACUCAAAUACAAUUAUUAUUUUUAUUUUUUUAUGUUUUUUAUAUAUUUUAUUUAUUUAUUCAUGAGAGACACAGAGACAUAGGUAGAGGGAGAAGCAGGCUCCACACAGGGAGCCGGAUGCAUAACUGGAUCCCGGGACUCCAGGAUCAGGCCCUGAGCCGAAGGCAGACGCUCAACUGCUCAGCCACCCAGGUGUUGGUCAAACAUGAUCAUUGUAAAAGUUGAAAGCAUUGGACUACUUCUUGACGAUUUCCAACAUAGUUGUGCAAAUGCAUUUUCACAUAUGUUGCUUUUUUAAAGAAAGAUUAUUUAUUUGAGAGAGAAAGAGAGAGAGCGAGAGAGAGCACAUGAGUAGAGGCAGGGGAAGGGGCUGAGGGAUAAGCAGGCUUCCUGCUGAGCCAGGAGUAGGGCUUGAUCCCAGGACCCCAGGACCAUGACUUGAAUUGAAGGCAGACGCUUAACCCCUGAGCCAUGCAGGUGCACCAGCACGUGUUGCUUUAUUAUAAAUGUCUUCCCUUCAACUUCUAUCAUUUUUCCCUAUGGGAAUUUUUUUUAAGAUUUUAUUUAUUUAUGAGACACACACACACACAGAGAGAGAGAGAGAGAGAGAGGCAGAGACACAGCCAGAGAGAGGAAGAAGCAGGCUUCAUGCAGGAAGCCCGACAUGGUACUGGAUCCCGGGUCUCCAGGAUCACCACCUGGACUGAAGGCGGCGCUAAACCACUGAACCACCUGGGCCGCCCCCUUAUGGGAAAUUUAGAUUAUUGUAUUAAAAAUGGUGUUGGGGGACGUCUGGGUGGCUUAGCAGUUGAGUGUCUGCUUUCAGUUUGGGUGGUGAUCCCUGGGGUCCUGGGAUUGAGUCCCGUAAUGGGCUCCCUGCAUGGAGCCUGCUUCUCCCUCUGCCUGUGUC